rnacentral:rRNA from 1 species
UAAAAAAAGGUAAGCUACUAAGAGCGAAUGGUGGAUGCCUUGACUGGUAAAGGCGAUGAAGGACGUACUAGACUGCGAUAAGCUACGGGGAGCUGUCAAGAAGCUUUGAUCCGUAGAUUUCCGAAUGGGGCAACCCAAUGUAUAGAGAUAUACAUUACCUAUAUAGGAGCGAACGAGGGGAAUUGAAACAUCUUAGUACCCUCAGGAAAAGAAAUCAAUAGAGAUUGCGUCAGUAGCGGCGAGCGAAAGCGCAAGAGGGCAAACCCAGUGCUUGCACUGGGGGUUGUAGGACUGCAAUGUGCAAGAGCUGAGUUUAGCAGAACAUUCUGGAAAGUAUAGCCAUAGAGGGUGAUAGUCCCGUAUGCGAAAAACAAAGCUUAGCUAGCAGUAUCCUGAGUAGGGCGGGACACGAGGAAUCCUGUCUGAAUCCGGGUCGACCACGAUCCAACCCUAAAUACUAAUACCAGAUCGAUAGUGCACAAGUACCGUGAGGGAAAGGUGAAAAGAACUGAGGUGAUCAGAGUGAAAUAGAACCUGAAACCAUUUGCUUACAAUCAUUCAGAGCACUAUGUAGCAAUACAGUGUGAUGGACUGCCUUUUGCAUAAUGAGCCUGCGAGUUGUGGUGUCUGGCAAGGUUAAGCAAACGCGAAGCCGUAGCGAAAGCGAGUCUGAAUAGGGCGCUUAGUCAGAUGCUGCAGACCCGAAACGAAGUGAUCUAUCCAUGAGCAAGUUGAAGCUAGUGUAAGAACUAGUGGAGGACUGAACCCAUAGGCGUUGAAAAGCCCCGGGAUGACUUGUGGAUAGGGGUGAAAGGCCAAUCAAACUUCGUGAUAGCUGGUUCUCUCCGAAAUAUAUUUAGGUAUAGCGUUGUGUCGUAAUAUAAGGGGGUAGAGCACUGAAUGGGCUAGGGCAUACACCAAUGUACCAAACCCUAUCAAACUCCGAAUACCUUAUAUGUAAUCACAGCAGUCAGGCGGCGAGUGAUAAAAUCCGUCGUCAAGAGGGAAACAACCCAGACUACCAGCUAAGGUCCCUAAAUCUUACUUAAGUGGAAAACGAUGUGAAGUUACUUAAACAACCAGGAGGUUGGCUUAGAAGCAGCCAUCCUUUAAAGAAAGCGUAAUAGCUCACUGGUCUAGUGAUUUUGCGCGGAAAAUAUAACGGGGCUAAAGUAAGUACCGAAGCUGUAGACUUGCGCACAACUUAGAUUAUUUAAGUUUAGAAUAUGAGAAACUAAGUUAUGUUUAGUUAUAUUUUUACUGAUUUUUAUAGAGUAAAGAUAGAAAUAAAACUUAGUAAAAUCAGUAAAAAUAUUCUUAGGCUAAAGUUAAGUAGUUUAAGUUGUGUGCAAGUGGUAGGAGAGCGUUCUAUUUGCGUCGAAGGUAUACCGGUAAGGAGUGCUGGAGCGAAUAGAAGUGAGCAUGCAGGCAUGAGUAGCGAUAAUUAAU